UCAAGGGUCCCGGCGGCCUCAACUGGGCUGGGCAGAGGCGUGUGCAUGUGUGGGCGGGGUCCAACCAACGUUUCCCAGUAGGGACGCGGUUACAGAGAUGACUGUGAUGGUUAGCAGGAGUCUCAAAGGGAAGGGACUGGAAGAACCCCCCACGCUGUCCCGCCCGAUCUCGGCGUCCUGACCUCUCCCCAGGGGCCGCUCAUGAUUUGGAAGUUGUCAUUGAUGAGGCGGAUAAUGCUCUGCCAGCAGGAAACUGCCUUCCUCCAGGAUCCGCUCCUCAAUGCUCCUCUUCCCCAUCCCGAAGUUCCGCAG